GACGAACGCUGGCGGCGUGCUUAACACAUGCAAGUCGAACGAUGAAGCCUAGCUUGCUAGGUGGAUUAGUGGCGAACGGGUGAGUAAUACGUGAGUAACCUACCUUUAACUCUGGGAUAAGCCUGGGAAACUGGGUCUAAUACCGGAUACGACCAAUCUCCGCAUGGGGUGUUGGUGGAAAGCGUUAUGUAGUGGUUAUAGAUGGGCUCACGGCCUAUCAGCUUGUUGGUGAGGUAACGGCUCACCAAGGCGACGACGGGUAGCCGGCCUGAGAGGGUGACCGGCCACACGGGGACUGAGACACGGCCCAGACUCCUACGGGAGGCAGCAGUGGGGAAUAUUGCACAAUGGGCGCAAGCCUGAUGCAGCGACGCCGCGUGAGGGAUGACGGCCUUCGGGUUGUAAACCUCUGUUAGCAGGGAAGAAGAGAGAUUGACGGUACCUGCAGAGAAAGCGCCGGCUAACUACGUG
rnacentral:rRNA from 1 species